AGCGUACACGGUGGAUGCCCUGGCAGUCAGAGGCGAUGAAGGACGUGCUAAUCUGCGAUAAGCGUCGGUAAGGUGAUAUGAACCGUUAUAACCGGCGAUUUCCGAAUGGGGAAACCCAGUGUGUUUCGACACACUAUCAUUAACUGAAUCCAUAGGUUAAUGAGGCGAACCGGGGGAACUGAAACAUCUAAGUACCCCGAGGAAAAGAAAUCAACCGAGAUUCCCCCAGUAGCGGCGAGCGAACGGGGAGCAGCCCAGAGCCUGAAUCAGUGUGUGUGUUAGUGGAAGCGUCUGGAAAGGCGCGCGAUACAGGGUGACAGCCCCGUACACAAAAAUGCACAUGCUGUGAGCUCGAUGAGUAGGGCGGGACACGUGGUAUCCUGUCUGAAUAUGGGGGGACCAUCCUCCAAGGCUAAAUACUCCUGACUGACCGAUAGUGAACCAGUACCGUGAGGGAAAGGCGAAAAGAACCCCGGCGAGGGGAGUGAAAAAGAACCUGAAACCGUGUACGUACAAGCAGUGGGAGCACGCUUAGGCGUGUGACUGCGUACCUUUUGUAUAAUGGGUCAGCGACUUAUAUUCUGUAGCAAGGUUAACCGAAUAGGGGAGCCGAAGGGAAACCGAGUCUUAACUGGGCGUUAAGUUGCAGGGUAUAGACCCGAAACCCGGUGAUCUAGCCAUGGGCAGGUUGAAGGUUGGGUAACACUAACUGGAGGACCGAACCGACUAAUGUUGAAAAAUUAGCGGAUGACUUGUGGCUGGGGGUGAAAGGCCAAUCAAACCGGGAGAUAGCUGGUUCUCCCCGAAAGCUAUUUAGGUAGCGCCUCGUGAACUCAUCUCCGGGGGUAGAGCACUGUUUCGGCAAGGGGGUCAUCCCGACUUACCAACCCGAUGCAAACUGCGAAUACCGGAGAAUGUUAUCACGGGAGACACACGGCGGGUGCUAACGUCCGUCGUGAAGAGGGAAACAACCCAGACCGCCAGCUAAGGUCCCAAAGUCAUGGUUAAGUGGGAAACGAUGUGGGAAGGCCCAGACAGCCAGGAUGUUGGCUUAGAAGCAGCCAUCAUUUAAAGAAAGCGUAAUAGCUCACUGGUCGAGUCGGCCUGCGCGGAAGAUGUAACGGGGCUAAACCAUGCACCGAAGCUGCGGCAGCGACGCUUAUGCGUUGUUGGGUAGGGGAGCGUUCUGUAAGCCUGUGAAGGUGUACUGUGAGGUAUGCUGGAGGUAUCAGAAGUGCGAAUGCUGACAUAAGUAACGAUAAAGCGGGUGAAAAGCCCGCUCGCCGGAAGACCAAGGGUUCCUGUCCAACGUUAAUCGGGGCAGGGUGAGUCGACCCCUAAGGCGAGGCCGAAAGGCGUAGUCGAUGGGAAACAGGUUAAUAUUCCUGUACUUGGUGUUACUGCGAAGGGGGGACGGAGAAGGCUAUGUUGGCCGGGCGACGGUUGUCCCGGUUUAAGCGUGUAGGCUGGUUUUCCAGGCAAAUCCGGAAAAUCAAGGCUGAGGCGUGAUGACGAGGCACUACGGUGCUGAAGCAACAAAUGCCCUGCUUCCAGGAAAAGCCUCUAAGCAUCAGGUAACAUCAAAUCGUACCCCAAACCGACACAGGUGGUCAGGUAGAGAAUACCAAGGCGCUUGAGAGAACUCGGGUGAAGGAACUAGGCAAAAUGGUGCCGUAACUUCGGGAGAAGGCACGCUGAUAUGUAGGUGAAGCGACUUGCUCGUGGAGCUGAAAUCAGUCGAAGAUACCAGCUGGCUGCAACUGUUUAUUAAAAACACAGCACUGUGCAAACACGAAAGUGGACGUAUACGGUGUGACGCCUGCCCGGUGCCGGAAGGUUAAUUGAUGGGGUUAGCGCAAGCGAAGCUCUUGAUCGAAGCCCCGGUAAACGGCGGCCGUAACUAUAACGGUCCUAAGGUAGCGAAAUUCCUUGUCGGGUAAGUUCCGACCUGCACGAAUGGCGUAAUGAUGGCCAGGCUGUCUCCACCCGAGACUCAGUGAAAUUGAACUCGCUGUGAAGAUGCAGUGUACCCGCGGCAAGACGGAAAGACCCCGUGAACCUUUACUAUAGCUUGACACUGAACAUUGAGCCUUGAUGUGUAGGAUAGGUGGGAGGCUUUGAAGUGUGGACGCCAGUCUGCAUGGAGCCGACCUUGAAAUACCACCCUUUAAUGUUUGAUGUUCUAACGUUGACCCGUAAUCCGGGUUGCGGACAGUGUCUGGUGGGUAGUUUGACUGGGGCGGUCUCCUCCUAAAGAGUAACGGAGGAGCACGAAGGUUGGCUAAUCCUGGUCGGACAUCAGGAGGUUAGUGCAAUGGCAUAAGCCAGCUUGACUGCGAGCGUGACGGCGCGAGCAGGUGCGAAAGCAGGUCAUAGUGAUCCGGUGGUUCUGAAUGGAAGGGCCAUCGCUCAACGGAUAAAAGGUACUCCGGGGAUAACAGGCUGAUACCGCCCAAGAGUUCAUAUCGACGGCGGUGUUUGGCACCUCGAUGUCGGCUCAUCACAUCCUGGGGCUGAAGUAGGUCCCAAGGGUAUGGCUGUUCGCCAUUUAAAGUGGUACGCGAGCUGGGUUUAGAACGUCGUGAGACAGUUCGGUCCCUAUCUGCCGUGGGCGCUGGAGAACUGAGGGGGGCUGCUCCUAGUACGAGAGGACCGGAGUGGACGCAUCACUGGUGUUCGGGUUGUCAUGCCAAUGGCACUGCCCGGUAGCUAAAUGCGGAAGAGAUAAGUGCUGAAAGCAUCUAAGCACGAAACUUGCCCCGAGAUGAGUUCUCCCUGACUCCUUGA
rnacentral:rRNA from 1 species